rnacentral:lncRNA from 1 species
ACAACUCUUUGCCCUCUCUACAAAAAAUUGUAACUGCUCUUGCUCUUUAAUCAACCAAUUUGUCUUAAGAUCUCAUUUGGAGCAUGUGAUAGGAUCUAUUUUUAGCCUUCUGGAUCAGAAAUACCUCAGCUAAGUAUUGUCUUUUCUUUUUUAUGUAUAUAUUGGUUAUGUGCCUUUGCAACAGUAUUUUAAGAAAAAACUCCUUUUGUAUUUGAACCCACACAAUGUUGUAGUUUUAUUGUGUAAUCUUAUUUUUAAAAGAACGUGUAAACUAAAACGUUAGCAAGUAUAAACGAACCUAAAAAAUAAGUAAUACUACAAAUCACUUUGAGAUUAUUUUGUAUUUUCUUCUUCUUGCACUAGAAAGAGACAAUUUUAUCAUAACAUAACAUACUGAAUAUAUGAUGUUAAAACGCUGCAAUUUUUGUGAAUAGGGGAACUAAUAUUUUAUGUAGUAUUUUGGAAUGUUUGUGUGAUAGAUUGGAAGAGGAGAAAAAAGAAGACUAAAAAAGGAAAGCGUAAAUGGUGAAAAUAAAUGAGUAAACAAUAUAUAAAAAGAAAGAGUUUGCUUUUAUAAAAUUGCGUGUACUUGGUCCUUGAUUUACAACGGUUUCAUAUUUUUGAUUAUAUUGUGUCCAUUAGUGCAAUAAGCUUUUAGGAUUUUUAAACACUUCUCUAUUUUGAUUAUUUCGAUUUUUUUUUUACCAAUAUCUUCCAUUGUAUAGACAGUCCUUUUUAAUUAUCACCAAUAAGAUGGGCGUCUUUCUUUAGCAUGAGUUUCACUAUUUUUAUGUAUAUUUGGUUCGUGAAAGUCGUGAGUUAUUUCUGAACCCGUCAAAUUCGUUUUGGAUCCACGUUUCAUAUUAGCGAAGUUGCAGCAAAAGCUGGUUGAAGAACACCAAGACACAAUAAUAUGCUUGCCAACGCUCUUCUAUAUCUAUUGAAUGAUAUGAUAUGAUAUUGUAUGCUUUUAAUUCAUCUAAAAGUUUGUAUAUAAGAAAAACUGACACUGAAUUACGAGAGAAAAAAAUUAAAUUUAAGAAAAUUAAUAAUUUUUUUACGAGAUGUUUUGAGGGAGGAGCUCAAUAAACUGCCCUUUUCAGCAUAAAGCUUCUACUAUAAACUGCCCUUUUUAGCAUGAAACUUCUCCUAUCGAAGAAAUUACGCUUAAGCUUAGUGAAUAUAUGAUAAUAUUUUAAGGAUUUUAGGAAAUUAGCUUUGAUUCAUUUUAUUUAAAAUCUUUUUCUUAAAUGAUUUUCAAUUUGAAUCUUCUAUUGAAGAGUUAGUGAAGUGCACGAAUAACUUUUGGAACUGGUAAUAUUGUGAGUUUUAAAGUUAAUAGGAGAAAAUAUUUAUAUUCUUGUCUAAUGCAUGAAAUUUGUAUUUCUUCUAUCUCUAUUAAAUUUAUAACAAGACAUAUGGUAACCGCGCGAAGCGCUGACAAUUUGACUAGUUCAAAAUAUAACGAAUCGACCAAAUAUCACUCUUUUUCAAUAUCCUUGACUGAUGCUAGUUUGGCAUUAAAAUUUAAACUGAGCGGCACCCGCAACCAUGAAAUCCUUGAUCCGUAGACUGAUAAUAGGCUAUAUUCAUGUAGUUUAACGACCAUUUACGCCCCAAAUUAGCUAUACUUUAUUGCUAUAUGAAGGUUAAAAUGACAACAAAUGGCUCUAAUUAUGAAUUUUGUGCUUUGCAGGAGCAAGUCCUGAUUAUGAGGACAUUAAACAGUGUUUGGAGUUAAUUUGGAGCAAGGAAGGCCAAUCGAAGGUGAGUGCGCGUGAAAGAAGAAGGAAAAAAUGAAAGACAGUUGAGUUCCAUGAGCACGGGCCAACCGUGACCGCGCUCAGGCUCAUGCAUAAAAGAAUGCAAUAUGCGCGGUCUGAUCGCGGUCCGAGCGCGGCCGCGCUCGUCACUCCGAGAAACUUUAUUUCAGGGGUAAAUUUGUAAGUUCGGGGGCAACUCUCCUUAACCUAUAAGAAGCCCAACUCACCCAAAAAGAAGGUAUCAAGGUUUUUGAAGGAUUAUUGAAGGCAAGAAGAGGAAAGAGGCAAGGCGGAAGAUUCGGCAUAGAGUUUUACCUUUCUUCCUCUUGUUUUAAUCACUAAUGAUGAAUUCUAUUGUUAUGAUUGUGAAAAAGAUUAUGCGUAGCUAAACUCUUAAUCUAGGAUUUUGAUGGAACGUCUUGAAGGAUGAAUUUCUUGAUAUGUUAAUAUAAAUUUGCCAUAGUAUUUUCUCUGUUUGUUCAACUAUAUUGUGAUUGCUGUUGAUUGAAGG